UUUACUGACCGUCGUCCACCGACAGUGCUUGGGCGGCGGUGAUUUGGGAGGUUGUGAUGUUUAUUUUUGCUUGACCUCAGGGCUUAAUUCAAACUCUGUGCUGCUAAGCCUUUAACUACUUGCUUAUUGUUGUGACUCACUGGCCGAAAAUGGGUCGCAAUACUCCAGAGUCCCCGGGCAAUGCCAAAAAGCGGCGUCGCACAUCUACCACAGCAGCAGCCACAUCGAUGCCCCAGUCUUCUCCAGUGCCAGAUCUGGUACCACCGCCGCUUUCAUGCUAUGGCGACACCGUGUUCGCGAGCAAUCCGUUCGACGAUGCUACGUCCAACUCUGCGCCGAUGCAGAUGCCCAACAUGGGUCACAUGGGCCACAUGGGCAUGAUGCCUCGCGGUAUGCCGUCAGGAAUGCAGGGCACCAUGGGCCCCGGUCCUGGCGGCCCCAUGGGUCCCGGCGGCCCGGUGGGGCAUGGUGGCCCGAUGGGGCCGGGCGGUCCGAUGGGACCGAUGGGACCGAACUCGAUGAACGGACCGAUGGGCCAUGGCAUGGGACCGGGACCCAACAUGGUCCCGGGUAUGCCUGGCGGGAACGGCAUGGGGCCCGGCAUGGGGCCCGUCGGAAACGGCAUGCCGCCAAUGGUGCCGCGGAUGUCGGCGCCCAACAGCAUGCCGGGCAAUCAGAACAUGAUGAACUCAAUGCCGAACAACAUGAACCCGAUGACUUCGAUGGGCGGCGGCAUGCACGACAUGAACAUGGGCGGCAUGGGGCCGGGGAUGCCGCCUGGUUCCGGCCCCGGCCCCGGCGGCAUGCCUCCGAACUCGUCCAGAAAGGUGUACCCGGCCGACCAACCGAUGGUGUUCAACCCACAAAACCCCAACGCGCCACCCAUCUACCCCUGUGGCAUGUGUCACAAAGAGGUACACGAAAACGACCAAGCGAUCCUCUGUGAAUCCGGCUGCAACUUCUGGUUUCACAGGAUGUGCACGGGUUUGAUCGAGCAGGCGUACCACCUUUUGAUCGCGGAAGUUUAUGCUGAAUGGGUAUGCGAUCGCUGCCUGAGCAGCAAAAACAUCCCGCUCAUAAAGUUUAAGCCAUGAGACUCGCAGCGUCGAGACGGCUAGAAUCACAAACGGUGAGGGUCGCAGUUAUAGCCGGCAACAGUGACAAUCGGUGAAAGUGACAUUUGUGACCGUGACAAUCGCCGAGAGCGGCAUUUGCCGAAAGUGACAGUUCGCGAAAGUGGUUGGAGGUGACAGUGACAAUCGCUGAAAGCGGCAUUUGGCGACCGUGACCAUCGGUGAGAGUGGCAUUCGGCGAUCGGUAAGAGUGGCAUUCGGUGACCGUGAGAUUUGCGAGAGUGGCUCAAGGUGGCAGUUAGAGUUGGCGAUGGUGGCAUGAUGCGACCGUGGCAGCCGAUGGGAACAGCAGCGUACGACACAUGCUGUCAACGGCAGUGUCAUGCGGCAAAGGUGGCGAGUUGUUGGCAGCCGACGGCAGAGUUGGUAGCAGCCGAGGAAGUUUGAAUCAGGCGCCGGCUGUUGGUGAACAGGCCUGACGGGAACGCCGAGAGCGGCGUAUUUUGAGCUGUUUUUCCUGUGCUGUUGUGACACUGAUCAUCAGUGUAUUCGUGGCAGUGUACCACGCUGCUGGCGUACCAAACGACAACAUUGUGCAUUGUUUUUUAAUACAGAUUUACGAGAGAAGGAGCACCGAA
rnacentral:misc_RNA from 1 species